GUUUGGCCCAAGCCCUUCUCUUUAGGGUUUGUGUUCUACUAUUUAUUUCUGUUUUGUUUCUCAUUUGAGACAGUUGAUGAUGAAUUAGAAUUGAAAUAUUUUUGGUGGCUUGCAGCCGUUUUCUCCCUCCCCUCUCUUCCUCUGGUUUCUUCUCCUCUUCUCCCUUCUCUCNGAAGCAAGUAAAGCAUUAUAUAAACCUCAAGUUGUUUGCCAUAAACAAUACUUUGAAUUUAAUAUUGGGGAUUAUGUUAUAUUGCAAGCGUGUAAUGCUGGUCUUUUUAAAAUUUCAAAGCAUGUUGGUCAAAAUGCCUAUGUCAAUGACCUUUUAUCACAUUAUGACCACCACCCUAUUUUAUUUGUUACGGACUUCGAUGCUUACAACGGCUAUUUUAGCCCUUCUGAUGACCCGUUUCUACUCCCACAUAAGAAUUCCCACACUGACUCUUUUGCCAUGUCUGCUUCAAUCUCACCUAUCACAGCACACAAAAAUAAAAUUGAUGUUAUUUUGGAUGAACAGCUUGUGUUGACCAAUAAUAGAGAGAUUCAAAACUUUCUUGUUCGUUGGAUGGAUCGACUUGAUUCUGACGGCACAUGGAUUCCCAAAGAGAGACUUCAGCAGUCUCAUGUUUUUGCGGGUAAUUUGCAAUUGGCAUCGUCACCAUUUGUGGAAUUUCGAUAUUUGGUUCGUCAGAGAGAUCGUCCCCCAUGGCAUAACUUGGUGCCUUUAGCAUCAGAUUCAUUGCAAC
rnacentral:lncRNA from 1 species